rnacentral:rRNA from 1 species
GUAGGUGGCAAGCGUUGUCCGGAAUUAUUGGGCGUAAAGCGCGCGCAGGCGGUUCUUUAAGUCUGAUGUGAAAGCCCACGGGCUCAACCGUGGAGGGUCAUUGGAAACUGGAGAACUUGAGUACAGAAGAGGAAAGCGGAAUUCCACGUGUAGCGGUGAAAUGCGUAGAGAUGUGGAGGAACACCAGUGGCGAAGGCGGCUUUCUGGUCUGUACCUGACGCUGAGGCGCGAAAGCGUGGGGAGCAAACAGGAUUAGAUACCCUGGUAGUCCACGCCGUAAACGAUGAGUGCUAAGUGUUAGGGGGUUUCCGCCCCUUAGUGCUGCAGCUAACGCAUUAAGCACUCCGCCUGGGGAGUACGGCCGCAAGGCUG